rnacentral:rRNA from 1 species
GUGACUCAAUUGGUCUUAGUUAGUCUUCGGGACGGAGUGGAAGAAGGGCGGAGACUCUCGAACGAGGAAAAGGAUCCCUUUGAAAGAAUUGAGGCCUGA